ACCCUUGUGGAGGAGGACGCCGAAGGUGGGGCUAAUGACUGGGGUGAAGUCGUAACAAGGUAGCCGUACCGGAAGGUGCGGCUGGAUCACCUCCUAACAGGGAGACAACAAAAUGUUUAAUAUUAUUAUUUUGUCACCUUAGGUCGAUCGGUAUCUCACGUUCUUAAUUUGUUAAGAAUUUCAUUUCCUAAGUUUUUCUAGGUCACACCCAUUAUUUUUCCUGGGCCAUUAGCUCAGGUGGUUAGAGCGCACCCCUGAUAAGGGUGAGGUCCCUGGUUCAAGUCCAGGAUGGCCCAUAUCUCUAUGUUGGGGGUAUAGCUCAGUUGGUAGAGCGCCUGCUUUGCAAGCAGGAUGUCAGCGGUUCGAGUCCGCUUACCUCCACUGAUUACCACCUCUUCCAUAAUCGGUAGAAAGGAAAUGUUUUGAGUUGUGAUCAUUAUUCUGAACGAAUCUAGCUUCCUAAUGAAACCAUUAAGAUGCUGGACUCAUUGAAUUAAUUUCAUUGUUUUCAGAGAACCUUGACAACUGCAUAGAUUUUUUUAAAGACAAUAAGCAUCUUUAAUGAUGCAGAUUUAUUAUUUGUGCGAAUGCAUUAAUAACAAUUCUAUUAAGCUGAUGCUUCAAUUUUUGAAGUUAUUGGUCAAGCUACAAAGGGCUCACGGAGGAUACCUAGGCACACAGAGGCGA
rnacentral:misc_RNA from 1 species